rnacentral:misc_RNA from 1 species
GAUGAAGAACGUAGCGAAAUGCGGUAAGUAAUGUGAAUUGCAGAAUUCAGUGAACCAUCGAAUCUUUGAACGCACAUUGCGCCCGGCAGUAAUCUGCCGGGCAUGCCUGUCCGAGCGUCAUUUCUCCCCUCGAGCGCAGCUUUCCCCCCCGGGGGAGGGCCGCGCCCGGUGUUGGGGCGCUACGGAGGAGCCCAGCGCUCCCCCGUAGGCCCCGAAAUGUAGUGGCGGUCCCGCCGCGGCGCCCCCUGCGUAGUAGUUUUACAACUCGCAUCGGGUCCCGGCGGAGGCCAGCCGUCAAACCCCCCAACUUCAAUAGUUUGACCUCGGAUCAGGUAGGGUUACCCGCUGAACUUAAGCAUAUCAAUAAGCGGAGGA